rnacentral:pre_miRNA from 1 species
AAAGUACUCCCUCCAUCCCAAAAUUCUUGUCUUAGAUUUGUCUAGAUACGGAUAUAUCAAGUCACAUUUUAGUAUUAGAUACAUCCAUAUCUAGACAAAUCUAAGACAAGAAAUUUGGGACAGAGGGAGUAGUUG